rnacentral:tRNA from 1 species
GCUACUAUACUUCAGUAGGUAGAAGGCACGCUUGGUAAGCGUGAUGUCGCCAGUUCGAAUCUGGCUAGUAGCUCCA